UGAGAAGUAAAAGUUUAGGGGAAAAAUAAAAAAGUUUUGGGAAUAAAAGUUUGAGGGAAAGUAAAUAGGGGGAGUAAAAUUUUGGAGGGAAAAUAUUAAAAAAAAAUUGGAGGGGGGAGGGUUUGGGAUAGAUGAGAGGUGAGAUGGGAAGGGAAUAAAAGUUUUAGGGGAAAAGUGGGAGGGAGUAAAAAUUUUGGGGGAAAAUAAAAUGUUUUGAGGGUUUUUGGGAGUAAAAUUUUGAGAAAAAUAAAUGGGAGAGUAAAA
rnacentral:lncRNA from 1 species